AAUAUUUGUUAUUUAUUUGUGGAUUAAAAUUUGGGAAUUUUAAUUCAUUAAUCCCAGCUCUGAAUAGUAGGCUAUGAUUUUUAUUCCCCCCAUUUAACACGUUUACUAACACUGCCACAAAUAUCCUUUUGGGGUAAAAUGUUUGGCUCUUGGCUCUGGCAAAAUAUUUACCCCAUCUAAUCAAGCUAUUUCCGAUGCUGUCCAUAUAUCUUCCACGCCCGGAAUGUGGCCUGGGGCCUGGGGGGCAGACAUGAUGAGUUGGGCAUAAAUUAUUUUUGCCGCCUGAAUGUCUAAUAUGGCGACGGUAUGCACUGAACAUUAAUGCUUCCUUAAUUGAAUGCAUAUAUUAAAAGGAUUAGAGCGAAAAUAUUUAUAAAAGGGAUGAAAAAAGGGAUAAUAUAAUAUUUUAAUAUAGGAUUCAAAAAACAUAGUUAUAGUAUGGUUGUAUAGUUAGGGGUUAUUCCGGUUUGCAGCAACACUCAAUAAGGACAAUAGGAGCAGCCAGCCGGCAAGGCAGCAUUACCAAUCCCAGUUCCAGACCCAGAGUAAUAUUCCUUGUUCACCUUCGCUCACAGGACGAAAUGCAGACAGCCUGAAACGCUCUCCUCGUGCGUUUCAUCUGUCAUUUAUCCCGUUUGUUUCUCCGCUUGUUUCGGGCUCUCGGGAGAGUAGAGUCCUGGUGAGUCCUGGCGAGUCGAGUCGAGAGUUUUUGAUUUUCGACAUGUCGCUUCUUCAACCCUUUUUUCAAUCUAUCCGUACACGUAUCCGUAUCCGUAAGUUUGUCCAUCUCCAUACAUAUGCAGAUAUGUAUGUGUGUAUCUGUGUGUGUGUAUGGAAAGUUUUGCAUUUUUAUUAUAGAUAAUUUGUGUACAGGUUUUUUGUGGCUGGCGCGCAAACUCCCAACUUGAACCUUCUGUUUCCUCUCGACUUCCAUUUCCUCCUCCAUCCGACCGACGACACUCCAUUGGCGUCCUCGUUGUAGUCGUCGUCCUGUCUGCACUCUGCAUAUGUUGGAUGUUGUUUAUUCCCCCUGCUCCCUGCUCCCUGCUCCUGCUCUGGUUUUUGUGUGUGGUUCUGGGGGAGCCAUAAUUAAUUUUCGACGUUUGCCUGCCUGGCUGCCUGCCUGUGUUCUCUGCUCUCGCUUUGAAAUCUGGCAACGUUGCAAUCAACCGCAGAAGUUCUCUACAUUAGAGAAAAGUGAAGAGCGUGAGAGUGCGAUUUAUUUGUGUAUUUAUUUGAAAAAUAAUGUGUUAUUUUUAUUAUAUUACUAUCUACAAGAGAUUAUUAAUGCUAAUUUAUUCAAUAAAUAUUGAAAUAAAAGAGCAACCCUCCUGGUAACCAUAAUCUCGUUGUCAGGCAGGAUUAGCAGAAUUUGAGUCCUCCCCUAACCAUAUCACAAUACCAUUGUAUCCACUUCGACUUGUUAUUGGCUCCAUCUCCACUGGCUUCCCAUCCGUCAGGUUUCCAGACAAACACAAGCCAACAGAACAAUGGGAAAAUACAUUUCCUCGCCCAAGUUGCAUUAUUAACAAAAUUUUACCGACUGUCGGGCUUCCGAAAUGACAAGUAAAUGGGAAUGGUAGUGGGAGUGGGUUCUGGCCCCUGGCAAGUUACUGCAUCUAGCGGAUGCAUUUUGCAUGUCAUCCAGUUGAAACGGGGUAUCGCUCAUGUGUGCAUUCUCGAUUGUACAAUGCCACUUGACAUUCGUACUGGCAUUAGCAGACUCAGUUGCAGGAGGUGAGUGAGGUGCUCUGGUUAAUGGGUUAAUGGUCUUUGAAUGUUCUGGCUCUGCCCAGGAGCUGGGGCGAUUGAAUGUUUAAACGCAUCAGAGUUGCUUCAAUUUUUAAGGCUAAAGGCUCUAUUAACUUGGCCAUCGCAUCAUAUAUGCAUGUUUGAGCAUUAUAACCGCCAUCGGUUAUUAUUUUUAAACCGUAUUCGAGUUUGCCUUUUGCCUUCCGCCACGCUUGGCAGCUUUCAUGCCCCUCGGCUUGGUUCUGGUUCUGGUUAUGUUUAUGGUUCGAGUUUGAGUUGGAGUUGGAGUUUGGUUUAUUCUUUUGGAUGUCUCAUUGUGAAUUCAGUGGGUAAACAUUUGCACAAGUGUCGGGAGCGAGUUACGGAGUUUUUCAUCCGCAAAUUUUUGGGCUGGAAAGAUGGUAGAUAGGUGGUUGGAGGUGCCAGAGGCUCCUACACGUGUAUGCACAGUAAAAAAUGCCUAAUUUUGAUGCCUAAUCCUAAACUGAACAGUUUUUAGUAGAAUUAAUAGUUUUCUGUGCACUCGGAGCCUCUAAACGCUGGCUAAUUGCCAUCGCGUGCUGCUGGGAGUGAAAGGGUUAGUGUCCGAAUUGCAACAAAAUCGAAAGCAGCACGAACAGGGGGUUAUACCUCCUCCCCGAUCCUCAAUCCCCAAUCCCAAAUCCCAAGGAAGUUGACCCAGUUCAGAACGGGGGGUAUGAGAUACAAUGACCUUAAUGUUGUUGGCCGGCUGGUUGGCUGGCUGGCCAGCAAAAGUGGAAGUGUGCUAAGCUCUGUGUGCAAUGUUGAAGAAAACUUUGCAUAUUAUGGGAUGAGAACUCGGAACUGGGAACUGGGAACUGGGGUGGCCAGUUGGAGUGGCCUGACUUUGAAAGUAAGCAGCCCCCCGUCCAUCCAGAACGCAACUCGUCCGUUUCCCAGGGGCAUUUGCAUAGCCCAAGGGUAAAUUCUUCAUCCUUUAGCUGGUUCUCAGCUGGGUUAAAUGAUGAUGAUACGCAUGAAUGGCUCGGAUUGUGGACCCCUCUGUUUCUCCACUCGAUUUUUCAUUUCGAAAUUGUCAUUCAACAGUUUGUUUAAUAAUCCAAUUAUUGUGAGCUUGGUGUCACUUUUCAUUGAGGAAAUCGGAGAUGUGUUUCCCUUCCUUUGAACAGAACAUUGUUGACAAAUUAUGAUAUGGUAAUGACCGAAACCUCUCAGCCAUGAAAUGAACUCUCGAAUCCUCUUCUCCAGCUUGUCGGAUCGGGCAGCGAUUAAUCAAUUACUGCUAAGGGCUUCCCUAAUUACCAAAGGAUAAUCCGUUCCAAAAAUAGCAAAAUCCGUUCCAGGCAGCUGCAAAACAAGCGUGUAAUGCUCAAUAAUGAUUGCAAUGGAGGGCUACAAUCCCAUACCAUCCCAUACAUAAGCCUCGAGCGAAGGAGUACUCCGGGAGGAGCGAGCAAAAGCAUCUGCCAUCACCUUAGUUGGUGGACGGACGGACGUUGCAUGUAAUCCAAACAAUACCUGCUGGCAAUAUCGGCAUCUUGCUCCUCCUAAUCCGUAGCAGUUCAAUCAGGAACUGCACAGGGGGCGAAAUGAAAACACAGAGCUUAUUGACAGACAUACCAUCCAUGUCGUGACCACCACACACUCCCUACAAUGGAGGUCAAGUCAUUAGGAUUGAUUUUUAGGGUCUUCUAGGAAUGAUAUAGAACUAUAAGUGUUGAGAACAUAAUCAAUUGUUCUAUUUUUGAUCUCAAACCCAAAUAAAGAAAUAAAAGAUAAAGAAUCUACACCUAUUGUCUUGGAAACAGCUGUGGCCACGCAGGAUAACACUGCGCAGGUAAAUAAAUCUCAUAAUUACGUGCAACAAACAGAAGUUAGCUUUUCUGGACACACUCACGCUCAGGCCCGUUGGUAACUGGUAACUGGUAACUAGUUUUGGCCACAAUAGAACCUGCGUUCCUAAUGAUUACCGACACAAAUUAUCUCCACCUCAAUCUCCUCCUUCUUGGCUGGCUCAAGUUUAACGACCUUUUGGGGUUACUUAACAUUUAAUUGGAGUAGAAAGAGGGCCAAAUUCGAGUAAUUAUGGCGGCGAGCCGCCCCGCCAAGAAGUCGGUGCCAGAAGCAGAAAGAGAUUUCUAAAUGAUGUACAACCUGCACGUGACAGACUAAUUGACAAGUGAGGGGAUCCUUUCUGAGGAUUCCUUCGACCGAAAGCCAGCCGCAGAUGACUUCUUAUUUAUUUAUGACGCAAUUUUUGAAGGACCUAGCAAAAGCCUGGCAAGGACCGAAAAUAAAAUGGCUUCAUAAAAACAGAGAGCCAGCCAAGACGGGGGGAGCUGGGGAGGAAAUGGAUUAAAACUAAUUUCCUACGUAAUGUACACUCGCACACACUCUCUCACAGCAACAAGGAGAAAUAUAGAACUUGGGGACUUUGGCGGUCUGGCAGUCACUCCGAGUCAGCCAUUUGGCCCCAGAGAUCGAGCCAACGACUCAAAGCAAUCAAAGCGCAACCAACUGGGCGAACCGACCAACUUUUCCAACCUCUUUCCCUGCCUGCCUGCCUGCCGGUCAACGGAGCAGAACCCUCUGCGGUACCCGUUUCUUGACCCACCAAACCAAACUCAAACCCAAACCCAAUCCCAAAGCCAUGGCAGACAGUCAAAAGAACAGGCGGCAACAAAUAGCCAUAAAAUGAAUGUGUACACAGCUGCGGUCAAAAUAAUAGCUUGUGAGAUGACAUUCCACCUUAAGAGCUACGGAUUACACUUCAUAUUUUCUUUUACAGAGUAUUGAUCGCCGAAGAAUUAUUCAUAAUUCGAUUAAUAAAAAUCCAAAAGGUUAGAUUAAGGAGGUUCUAUUGUUUGAUCCUUAAGUGUCUAAGGAAAAGUACCAUGACGAAAGUAACGAGGACCAUUUUUAGAGGAGAGCAUGGAGUUGGAAAACAAGAUUAAGGUAGCAAGGGCUUUGAGAAAUUACUUGGCUUAUAACCAUGUUACCGCUCACAGCUUUGACAUUUGUGAGCUUUAACAUUUUAUAUAAUUUCAUUGAAUUUUAUUGCUCAAGGAAUAGUAGUACAGAAAUAUUCUUGCCGUGUCGAAAGUGGAAAAGUCCCCUCUGGUUGUGGGACUCUCGACGUUUUAUGGCUAAUACAAUUUGGCUUUUUUAUUGCCCCGAGUCGGUGCGAAAUAAAUGAUUACUUUGCAUGUCGUGGCAAUGAACCCAACCAACCAACCAGACAACACAAACGCGAAUCGCUAUUAAAGCUGAGUCGGUCAAUUAGUAAACAAACACCUAACACACACCCCUUAGUGUAAUUAUUCGAAUAAAAAUCACACAUAUAAGCUGUGAGCUCGUCAGAGGUGUUUGGUGGAAGCAUCAAUCGAUGUCCCUUGACAAAAAAAGUAUAUAGAAUAAUGUGAUUUAUGUGGAAUAUGCCACUGCAAGUGGCAAUAAAAUGUUGUUCUCGCUUUGCUGCAAACACGCAUGAAUGGGCCGAUAUCGAAAAUGUAUUUUUGGCAUUGCCAGAGCGAAUGAAAGCCACAGAAAUGUAUAAAUAAUAAAUUUGUAAAUUGUUUUGGCUUUUUGCUUUUUGCUGACUUUUAAUAGGCCAACUACAACAUUUUCCGUGGCCGUCAGCAUUUCUCACUUUUGUUUUUUUGUCGGAUUUUUAGCCACCCACUUGACCUGACCCAUUGAGUAAGAAAGGGCCCACCCACAAACGCAUUUAAUUGCCAAAAUCUGUCUACAUUCUGCGAAUGUGCUGGUUCAUGGUGUGAACCAUUUUUAGACCUUAGCCAGCACUUCCUGGUUAUAUUUGAUUUGUGGCUUCAACAUUUCGGCGACUGUACACCGUGAUAGAGGAGAAAAAUGAUUAUUUUUUGAGCAAUACGAAGAGUUUCCAUGGAUACUAUGGAUCCCAUUAGUGCUCUGAAGGCUUACCCACCAGAAAUCUUUAUUGAUUUCCCGCUUGGUCCAGGCUGCAUCCUCCGAUAAUCGGCUUAGAAAUUUUCCUACUAAUUGGCACUCCACAAACGUGUUAAGGGGAGUGCUGUUGGCUCAAACCUUUCGAUUGAUUUAUAAUCCCUUAGACUUAGGUAUAUGGGCAAACAAAUAAUUAAAAAUUUUUUGCACUUUGUUGUCUUGUUUGGGCCCAUCGUGCCGUGUUUGCCAUCAAUUCUUACACUUGCCCGCAAAAUAUCUAAAUAUUAUGCUAAAGCAAACACAUUUUGUAAACAGCUGCGAGUGCAACUACAGCCCAGCUAUUUGCCUUUUGGCAGUGUUUUUGUUACUAUUGGCACAGUUUCAGCACCGGUGCUCCGACCACGCCCUAAUUGCCUCUGAGUUCGCCACUGCCAGAGGCCAUUUUGGUGAAAAGCUUUGAGGCCUUACGACCCAUACCUGAAAAACAAACAAAAUGAGUAGCUAUUCUAUGAAUCUAUAACGCAUUAACUAGCAUAGAGUAGGUUGUGGCUAAAAGAAUAACAAUAGAAGGACCUUUUCUUUUCUGUUUUUAAUGGGAAAUGCAAAAUAAACAUCUUUAUUAAUUGUUCA